rnacentral:rRNA from 1 species
AUUGAACGCUGGCGGCAUGCUUUACACAUGCAAGUCGAACGGCAGCGCGGGCUUCGGCCUGGCGGCGAGUGGCGAACGGGUGAGUAUACAUCGGAACGUGCCCAGUAGUGGGGGAUAGCUCGGCGAAAGCCGGAUUAAUACCGCAUACGACCUGAGGGUGAAAGCGGGGGAUCUUCGGACCUCGCGCUAUUGGAGCGGCCGAUGGCAGAUUAGCUAGUUGGUGGGGUAAAGGCCUACCAAGGCGACGAUCUGUAGCUGGUCUGAGAGGACGACCAGCCACACUGGGACUGAGACACGGCCCAGACUCCUACGGGAGGCAGCAGUGGGGAAUUUUGGACAAUGGGCGAAAGCCUGAUCCAGCAAUGCCGCGUGUGUGAUGAAGGCCUUCGGGUUGUAAAGCACUUUUGGCGGGAACGAAAAGGACUGUGCCAAUACCACGGUUCGAUGACGGUACCCGCAGAAUAAGCACCGGCUAACUACGUG